ensembl:snRNA U6 U6 spliceosomal RNA
UUGCUUCAGCAGCACAUAUACUAAAAUAAGAAUGAUACGGAGAAGAUUAGCAUGGUCCCCUGAGCAAGGAUGACCAAUUCAUGCAUUCAAUAUUUUU